UUGUAAAAGAAUAAAGUUUGUGGUUUGUAUGCAAAGAACGAAAAUAAACAAGCAAAUGCAAGUGGUUCAAUUGGCAAGAAAAAGAUAUGGAUGAAUGGAGUUGUUGGGGUUUACAAUUUCAUCUUAUCCACUCUCUUUUAUCUACUCUUCUUAUUAAUUCGCUUUAUUAUCUAAUUGUCAUGCAAACUUUCUUAGUCUACCCUAAACCCAAUCCUGGCAAGAAGAGCCUACUACUAAUUAUUGGCUUACUAUCCCUAGUCUCCCCUAGCAACUAGCAAUGCAAGUAUCACGGAAGCAAAAUACAAUUGAUCGUCCUCCCCCUAUCCCUAGGUGGUAUUGCUUAAUUAAAGAAUUCCCAUAUCGACAAAGGCAAACAUCUUUAUAUCGAAUGAGUUAAAUGAUAAAAGCUUUGAGCAUAG
rnacentral:lncRNA from 1 species